ensembl:lncRNA
CAUCUGUACAAACAAUAGUAUAAACACCAUGGGACCACACAGCCAUCAUACCGCUCAGGAAGGAGAUGCGUUCUGUCUCCUAGAGAUGAACGUACUUUGGUGCGAAAAGUGCAAAUCAAUCCCAUAACAACAGCAAAGGACCUUGUGAAGAUGCUGGAGGAAACAGGUACAAAAGCAGCUGGUGUGUGACUACGGAAAAGAGAACGUACAUCGGGUGAGGGAGAUCCCCCCCCUCACUUCGUCAAGCCACCCAAAACCAUACAGGGAACCAGGGUUUACAAUACAUCCAGUUUCAGGUGCAGGACAGGACGGUAG